UCUGUGAAGACGAUGGAGCAGCGUCGGCUGCUUCCAUCGCGGGGGCGGGAGGAGUCACUGCGGCAACACUGCGGCAACACUGCGCGUGCGCUCGGAGGACUCCGGAGGCCUCUGUGAAGCUGCCCCCACCUGCGUCACAUCGGCAUAACUUCUUCGCGGAAGCAUGGGCAAGACCGCGAGUAGGCUGGAUGGUCUCCUUUGUAGUUAAUACAAUGUGGGGAAAAAGUGCAGUUUUCAGAUUGGUGAUCGUUGGAGCUGCAUUUAGCACAGGUUGUUUGGCCUCAGUAUGCAUGUGAAGCAUGUACGAACCUUUGACACUUGAAACACCGUCUCGGAUUUGGGAUAUAUGGUCCGACGUUUACUUUUACGUACCCUGCAUCCAGAGAGGUAGGCAUUAUGCUUGUUCCAAAUGUAAGUAUGACAUGUUUUGUUGGGAUCUCUUGGUCAUUUCUGCGGAUGACUAUUCUUUGUACUUUUGUCACUUUUUGCUCCUGGAAACCCUCAAGGAGUUCCUCAUUGCUCAGGCCAAUAAAGUCUUUCUCUGAUAUCCCA